rnacentral:ncRNA from 1 species
AUAAUGAUACUUCCGUUCAGUCACAGCACCAAGUGGAAUUGGAAUAAGGCAAUGAGAGCGGCUCUGUAAGAACCACAGAGGGGUGAAAAUCCCAUGA